CUACGGGAGGCAGCAGUGGGGAAUAUUGCACAAUGGGCGCAAGCCUGAUGCAGCCAUGCCGCGUGUAUGAAGAAGGCCUUCAGGUUGUAAAGUACUUUCAGCGGGGAGGAAGGGAGUAAAGUUAAUACCUUUGCUUAUUGACGUUACCCGCAGAAGAAGCACCGGCUAACUCCGUGCCAGCAGCCGCGGUAAUACGGAGGGUGCAAGCGUUAAUCGGAAUUACUGGGCGUAAAGCGCACGCAGGCGGUUUGUUAAGUCAGAUGUGAAAUCCCCGGGCUCAACCUGGGAACUGCAUCUGAUACUGGCAAGCUUGAGUCUCGUAGAGGGGGGUAGAAUUCCAGGUGUAGCGGUGAAAUGCGUAGAGAUCUGGAGGAAUACCGGUGGCGAAGGCGGCCCCCUGGACGAAGACUGACGCUCAGGUGCGAAAGCGUGGGGAGCAAACAGGAUUAGAUACCCUAGUAGUC
rnacentral:rRNA from 1 species